UACGUAGGGUGCGAGCGUUGUCCGGAAUUAUUGGGCGUAAAGAGCUCGUAGGCGGUUUGGUGAGUCGGGUGUGAAAUCUCCACGCUCAACGUGGAGGGGCCACCCGAUACUGCCAUGACUAGAGUCCGGUAGGGGAGUGUGGAAUUCCCGGUGUAGCGGUGAAAUGCGCAGAUAUCGGGAGGAACACCAGUGGCGAAGGCGGCUCUCUGGCCAGUAACUGACGCUGAGGCGCGAAAGCCAGGGGAGCAAACGGGG
rnacentral:rRNA from 1 species